rnacentral:rRNA from 1 species
CUCAGGACGAACGCUGGCGGCGUGCCUAAUACAUGCAAGUCGAACGAGAGCGACCGGUGCUUGCACUGGUCAAUCUAGUGGCGAACGGGUGAGUAACACGUGGGUAACCUGCCCAUCAGAGGGGGAUAACAUUCGGAAACGGAUGCUAAAACCGCAUAGGUCCUUUAACCGCAUGGUUGAAGGAGGAAAAGAGGCGCAAGCUUCUGCUGAUGGAUGGACCCGCGGUGCAUUAGCUAGUUGGUGAGGUAACGGCUCACCAAGGCCGUGAUGCAUAGCCGACCUGAGAGGGUGAUCGGCCACAUUGGGACUGAGACACGGCCCAAACUCCUACGGGAGGCAGCAGUAGGGAAUCUUCCGCAAUGGACGCAAGUCUGACGGAGCAACGCCGCGUGAGUGAAGAAGGUUUUCGGAUCGUAAAACUCUGUUGUUAGAGAAGAACAAGUGCUAGAGUAACUGUUAGCGCCUUGACGGUAUCUAACCAGAAAGCCACGGCUAACUACGUGCCAGCAGCCGCGGUAAUACGUAGGUGGCAAGCGUUGUCCGGAUUUAUUGGGCGUAAAGCGAGCGCAGGCGGUUCCUUAAGUCUGAUGUGAAAGCCCCCGGCUCAACCGGGGAGGGUCAUUGGAAACUGGGGAACUUGAGUGCAGAAGAGGAGAGUGGAAUUCCAUGUGUAGCGGUGAAAUGCGUAGAUAUAUGGAGGAACACCAGUGGCGAAGG